rnacentral:misc_RNA from 1 species
GAUGAAGAACGUAGCGAAAUGCGAUAAGUAAUGUGAAUUGCAGAAUUCAGUGAAUCAUCGAAUCUUUGAACGCACAUUGCGCCCGCCAGUAUUCUGGCGGGCAUGCCUGUUCGAGCGUCAUUUCAACCAUCAAGCCCCCGGCUUGUGUUGGGGACCUGCGGCUGCCGCAGGCCCUGAAAAGCAGUGGCGGGCUCGCUGUCACACCGAGCGUAGUAGAUUUUCAUCUCGCUCAGGGCGUGCUGCGGGUUCCGGCCGUAAAAAGCCUUAUUUACCCAAGGUUGACCUCGGAUCAGGUAGGAAGACCCGCUGAACUUAAGCAUAUCAAUAAGCGGAGGA